ensembl:snRNA U6 U6 spliceosomal RNA
AUCAGUUUAAUCUCUUAUACGUAAAAUUGGAACAAUACAGAGAAGAUUAGCAUGGUGCCUGCACAAGGAUGACACGCAAAUUCGUGAAGCGUUCCAUAUUUUU